AAGACCUUUCCUUGACUUCCAUUCAUACUCAAUUAUUACUAUUUAGGCUGAAUCUUAGCUACUACUCCAGUCAUGAAUUUUUUCUUUUGAGAAGUGUCUGUUAUGCUGCUUAUUCAUUUGUCCAUUUAUUAAUUGGGUUAUUGUUUUUUAGUGGGUUUUUUUUUGCUUUUCAGUAUUAAAUUUGAGUUUUUGUAUAUAUUCUGGAUAUUAAUCCUCUUAAUAGAAGAGGAGCUAGCAAAGGUUUUCUCUCAUUCUAUAAGUUGUCUACAUUCUUAAUUGUUUCCUUUGCUGUUCAGAAGCUUUGAUGCCAUCCCAUUUAUUAUCUCUUGGCAUUAUUUCCUGACCUUUAGAGGUCCUAUUGAGAAAGUUGAUGCCUAUACCUAUAUGUUGGAGUAUUGACCCUACGUUUUCUAGGAGUUACCUAGUUUCUGGUCUGAUUUCACAUGGGCAUAUACCUAGGAAAGGAAUUGCAAGGAUAUAUUAUACUUAAUUUUUUAAGGAAUGGCAAUUUUCAAAGCUAUGAAAGAUAUACUUUGUUAUUUACUUUAUGUGGUAUUUACAUUUUUAAGUUGCAUAUUACAUUUUUAAAGAAAAAGUCUUCAUAUUUUUACUUAAUAAUGCUGAGAUUAAGAAUUAGGAGAUUUUGCAAAAGAAAUUGAAACUGUAACAGGGUAAAAAUUUUAGCUUAAACCUAUCUCAUGAUCUGCCAGGUUUUUGUAGAAUUACUCAUAGAAGAUAUUAUGAACUAAUGUGACACAAAAAAAGGAAUAUGGUUAACCUUAUAAACUCUGUUUUAUCACUCUAAAUUAUCUCCAUAAUUUAUGUGAUUUUGUAAAUAAGGGUUUUCUUAUUUGCAUGAAGGCAAUAAAAAUAAUUAAUAUGAAUUUUUCUUUUGUUAUCUUCAGGGCCCUGAAAACAUAAGGAUGAAUGAAGAAUGGUUCCCAUCUUAAUACAAAAUUGGGAUAGCUUCAUUGCUGCUUAAGAGACUUUGAGGAUUUUUUUUUUUUUUUUUUGACCCUUUAUUUAAGACCUUUCCUUGACUUCCAUUCAUACUCAAUUAUUACUAUUUAGGCUGAAUCUUAGCUAAACUUCUGACUUUCAUGUAAGCAUAUUGUUUAUAGAGCAUUAGAAGACUCAUGUUUGUGAUGCCAACAUGUUAAUGAAGGCAGUCCCAUUUUGUGUGUGUGUAUGCGUGCGUGUGUGUGUAUGUGUGUGAAUAUUUAAGUGAUCAUAGAUUUGCAAGUGAUUUCAUUUUGUAAUUUGUAUGAUGAAAGGGUUUGAUCCUUUCUAGAGUUAAGAGAUUUUUUAUAGUUCUUUGUAACUAUUUAAAAGAUGGUUGCUAUUGCUUUUAAAAAAUAAUUGGAAUAAAAGUAUGAUUGGUUGGUGUAUAAAUAAAACAGAAAUAGUUUUAUACAAAGAUAUUUUAGUCCUUAAAGUAUGAAACUUAAUGAAUUUGUGUAAAAAUCUUUAUUUUUUAUUUUCUGCUUCAAAUUUUCAAUAAACAAGCUAAAAAGUAAUUUUCUCCUUUUGUUAAAAAGAUAAAGCUUUGUUUUUGUGUGUGUGGUGCUGGGGAUUGAUACUCAUGGCUUUGUGCUAAGCAAGCACUCUUCUGAGUUAUAGCCCCAGCUCCAAGGCUUUACUUUUGAUUUUAGAAAAGGUUUUCAUUAUCAUUCUGUGACAUAUGGAAGUAUGAUUUACUUGGAUAAGCUUUGUUUCUCAAGAAAAAAGAAAACAAUUUUCAGUUGAUAAAAUGAAUUAUUCAUAUUUCAUAUGCUUACUGGCAAUUCAAUUAGUAAUUGUAUUUAAAAAGGGCUACUUUUAUUUGUGAUGUGAAAAUUAACCUUCAUAAUGUUGUUAAUUCUAAUUGAAGUUUUCAGAGUUUUUGUUUUAAGAUGAAAUUCAAGCAAGCAGAGCAUUAUCAAAUAAAUAAAUAUUGGAAUAAUAAAGGGUGUUUGGGAAAUUGUUUGUUAAUGACAUUAAUGAUAUUAAUCAGAUAUUUCCUUAUAAUUUAUAAAAUUCAGAAAACUAAACAUAUAACUUAAUUUUGUUUCUCAGUAGUUUUUAUAUUAAGCAUUUUUGUUGUUUUCUAAUUUGAUCAUAAUAUAUCUUAUGGGUAUCCCAUUUACAAAAAUAUUCAUUGUACAACUUUGUUAGUAGAAAGUUAGGGAAGUUGGACUUUUGAGAAGAUAUAUUCUAGAUCAGAAAAAUUAAAAUGGAGAAG
rnacentral:lncRNA from 1 species